rnacentral:rRNA from 1 species
ACACCGGCAGCUCAAGUGGUAGCCGCUUUUAUUGGGCCUAAAGCGUCCGUAGCCGGUCUGAUAAGUCUCUGGUGAAAUCCCACAGCUUAACUGUGGGAAUUGCUGGAGAUACUAUCAUGACUCGAGGUCGGGAGAGGCUGGAGGUACUCCCAGGGUAGGGGUGAAAUCCUGUAAUCCUGGGAGGACCACCUGUGGCGAAGGCGUCCGAGUGGAACGAACCUGACGGUGAGGGACGAAAGCCAGGGGCGCGAACCGGAUUAGAUACCCGGGUAGUCCUGGCCGUAAACGAUGUGGACUUGGUGUUGGGAUGGCCUCGAGCUGCCCCAGUGCCGGAGGGAAGCUGUUAAGUCCACCGCCUGGGAAGUACGGUCGCAAGACUGAAACUUAAAGGAAUUGGCGGGG